rnacentral:rRNA from 1 species
UACGGAGGGUGCAAGCGUUAUCCGGAUUCACUGGGUUUAAAGGGUGUGUAGGCGGGUAUUUAAGUCAGUGGUGAAAUCCUACAGCUUAACUGUAGAACUGCCAUUGAUACUAUUUAUCUUGAAUAUUGUUGAGGUAGGCGGAAUACAUCAUGUAGCGGUGAAAUGCUUAGAUAUGAUGUAGAACACCGAUUGCGAAGGCAGCUUACUAAGCAAAUAUUGACGCUGAGGCACGAAAGCGUGGGGAUCAAACAGG